rnacentral:rRNA from 1 species
GACGAACGCUGGCGGCAGGCUUAACACAUGCAAGUCGAGCGGAGCGGCGGACGGGUGAGUAAUGUCUGGGAAACUGCCUGCUGGAGGGGGAUAACUACUGGAAACGGUAGCUAAUACCGCAUACCAUCAGAUGUGCCCAGAUGGGAUUAGCUAGUUGGUGGGGUAAAGGCCUACCAAGGCGACGAUCCGUAACUGGUCUGAGAGGAUGAUCAGUCACACUGUAGCUGAGACACGGUCCAGACGCCGACGGGAGGCAGCAGUGGGGAAUAUUGGACAAUGGGCGAAAGCCUGAUCCAGCCAUGCCGCGUGUGUGAAGAAGGUCUUCGGAUUGUAAAGCACUUUAAGUUGGGAGGCGUUACCAACAGAAUAAGCACCGGCUAACUUCGUGCCAGCAGCCGCGGUAAUUC